ACUUGUUGUGUGUGUUUUUUUGUAAUAAUUGUGUGAAUUAUGUUGCUCUUGGUUACACUCCUUUCAGUGAUUAGGAAGACAAUUAGAUUGCCCUAAUUAAACUGUUAAUUUUCCUUUUCCUUUAACAGCAUCUUGUUGGUAUUUUUUAUUAAUCUUUAACCUGAUUUGUUUCAUUGUAAAUCAUAUUCAAUGAUUGUUAUCAGUACUUGAAUUUGGAAUCAGCGAUUUAGCCUUUUUCCUUGUGCUUUAACAGACGUUGCUUUUACAUCAUAACUAUGUAAAACAUCUUUCACCUUUUAAUUGUUAACUGUCCAGUAACAAUCAAUUUGAUUAUGUGUUAACAAAACAACGGCAACAUUAAUUUUACCUUUAUUUUUGUUGCUGCUUUUGUCUUUCAAUUGAUUUAUUGUUGUUAUUUAUUUUGCUGCUACAACUUUUGAUGGUUUAUUCAGUUUAUCUGACAUUAUUCUGAUAUCAUUUUGCUCUUGAUUAAUUUAGAUUAAUGCCAUUGACUUACAAUUAAAAUUGUAAUUCUCAUUGUUUUUACCUUUUUUUUCCUGUUCUGAAUUACUUAAGUGCCAUCUAUUGAUGUAUUAUUUAGUGAAUAGAUUUGAAACAUAUUUUUACUAGUUUAAUUAACGGUUAAACAAAAAGUGAUUAAUGGACUAAUGAUGAUUGACUGUUGAAAGGAUAAAACAUUGGUGGUUAGCGAGGUUAAUCAGGUGAUAGAUAGACAAUGGAAAUGAAGCUUGGUUUUAACCAUUUCUGUCUAACGUUUCUGUUUUGGUUGCGCUGGCUAGUUGGACUUUUAUUGAUUGCUUUUGGUCAAGCCAGGCAGACAAUGUGAGGAUUUCAAUGUGUCCUUAUCUUUUGGUUAAUGCUUUGGUGCGCUGGUUUAUUACUAAUUGGUUGUAAUGUUAUCUAAUAACUUGUGGAAUGACUUGGCUAACAAAACUUUUUUUUUGUCUACUCUACUGGUGGAAAACCCUGUCAUGCUGUCCCUUUAGGUUGACUCGUAAUCAUUAGGUCAAGUUACAUGGACAAGAGUAGGUCAACCAACCUAAAAUAUUCAGAGCUAUGGGUCAUUACAAAGUCCGUUAAGAAAAAUCAACAUUAGCUACCAUGAGGCCGACCAAAGGAAAGUCCAGAAAUUAUUCUUUGUUUCUGUGGUCAAUCAUUUAAGUUUAAAUAGCCUUGAGACUUGAACCAAAAAGAAGGAGAAGAAGAAGAAGAAGAAGAAAUGAUGAUGGCGAGGAGGGAAAAGUCUAAGUAACUUGAGUAUCUUACUCUUACAUCUUAUAUAAUAUUAUUUGUUGAAGUAAAGACCAAAGACCUUGAACUGCCCUUUGGCUUAGGACCAUUUCUUUGUAACACUAUUUUAAGGUUUUCCUCUUUUCUUCUUUCUAAGAUUAUUUUCUCAGGACUUUCUUCCUCUUUCCCUCUCUUCCCUCUCUUUCCUUUCUCUCUGUCUCUCUUUCUAUCACUCGCUCUUCUCUUUCUUUUCUUUCUUCCCCAAAGUCUUAGUAUUUUCUUGCAAGAAAAUAAAAAACUCAAGUAUAAUAUUCGCUUUACCGUUUUUUAUUUUUCUCCUCUCUUUCACCUCUCUUCCAGUCCUUUGAGUGGUUAGUUGAUAUUGAAGGUAAUCAAAAAUCUCAAAGAUUUCAGCAUCAUUCGUCUUGAAUGACUCCCAUUAUUUAACCUUUUAUGAUGGAAAUUUAUAAUUGAAUUUGUAAAUUUGUUUAUGCAGUCCACAUCAAUUGAUCCAGGAAAAAUCAAAGUCCAUAUAUACAUACACACACACACGAUGCAAUCUGUGGUUUAAUAUUAAUGAUGUUGGCUGUUAGUGAGGGAAAAAAUCCACCACUUCUGAUAAACUUAAAGCCAUAUGAUACAUAAAGGAUGGAAACAGAUCUUGCAAAGUUGAUAGCCAAACAAAGUUUCAUUUAACCAUUUACUACUUGAUAAUCUCGGACAUUAUUCACAAUAAUCAGUAAUUAACUUGUCAGAUAAAUUGGCUUGGCUUUUGUAGGCGUUAUUUGAUUAAAACAAUUGGUGAAAAUUGGUGAACGCCAUUUGAAAACAUAUUGGCUCAAGAAUCAUUUUAGGUUAAUAACGACGUUAAUAAUUAUCAUUAGCAUUACUAUUAUGGUUAUUAUCAUUCACCAUUAUUCACAAGGACAUCAUAAUAACCAUUUAAUACGGGUUAAAACAUUAAAUUGUGAAGAUGAUCGCCAUCAUCAUGUUCAUCAUAAGGCUGCUCAAACGAUUCUCCGGUAAACAUGAAGCUCAACCUGAAUAAAUUGGGGGAAAAGAUUAGAUAACGUAUCAAUGUUACUCAAAUAACCAAAUGUGGCUUACUAGUUGGAUUUGUAAAUAUAAAAGGUGAAUUCAAUUAUUUACACGAAAAAUGGUGAAAAAAUGGUGGAAUCUAUUGGAAUAAGUGACCUUUAAUUAGUUGCCGAACGUCAAGAUAACAAUUUUUUAUCCAAAUAUUUAUACAUUCUUGAUUAAUCAAACCUUACAAAUAAACUGGAAAAGGAUUGCUCAAUUGGAGGGUCACUUUGAAGGCACUUAGCUAAACAACUGUCUGUAUAAUAACAUCGUUUGAGACUUAAUUAACAAGACAAUUUGGAAAGGGUCACUUUAUUUUAAAAUGUCAAUCAAAAUGAUCAUUGGCUAUUAACAAUCAAAAUACCAAAGGGAAAGCAAAAGUUAAACGUGACUAGUUCAUUUUUUGUGGAUUAAGAUAAUUGCUGUGUAUCAAUUUCUCCCUUUACCUAAUGAUUGGUACAUAAAUUCAGUCUUCUAUCUCUCUUUACUCAUCAUCAUCAUCAUCAUCAUCAUCAUCCAUGGCCAUUUGAUGCAAUAUAAUUUGGUGUGUGUGUGUGAAUCAACACGGUGGAUAGUUAAUAAGGGAAGAUGGUUAAUAGUUAUUCAAGUUAACCUCGAUAAAUUAUUAAACUGGACUGGACUCUGGUUUGCUGUUGUUUUUGUUGCCAGUAAAUUUAUCGAUCAAGUAACAAUUAAAAAAAAGAGAAGAGGCCAAGACAGUAAUAAGAAAGUAAUGAUGGUGAUGGUGAAAACAAGAAAGUAGCCCAGUGAAACACAUAACCAGAACAUGGAUGAAGCCAGGGGCACACUGAGAGUGGGGAGUGGUUUAGAGUUGAUAAAAUCAUUUCGGAUGAUUAAAGUAAAGAUAUUUAAAGAGUAACAGAGUAGCAAAGGUAAAUUUGGAAAGGGAUGGUCAUCUGAAUGCAUAACUUGGAUGGACUUGCUUGGCCUCUCCUGAGCUUCUUGAUACUUUUUUCUCUCUCUCUCUCUCUCCCUCUUCUUUCCUCUCUGAAGGAGAAAGAUAAAUUGUAAUACAAGUAUUUAUAAAGAGAGUAAAAAUGAAUGAAAAAAGAGAAA